GAUGAACGCUGGCGGCGUGCCUAAUACAUGCAAGUCGAGCGAACAGACGAGGAGCUUGCUCCUCUGACGUUAGCGGCGGACGGGUGAGUAACACGUGGAUAACCUACCUAUAAGACUGGGAUAACUUCGGGAAACCGGAGCUAAUACCGGAUAAUAUAUUGAACCGCAUGGUUCAAUAGUGAAAGACGGUUUUGCUGUCACUUAUAGAUGGAUCCGCGCCGCAUUAGCUAGUUGGUAAGGUAACGGCUUACCAAGGCAACGAUGAGUAGCCGACCGGAGAGGGUGAUCGGCCACACUAGAACUGAGACACGGUCCAGACUCCUACGGGAGGCAGCAGUAGGGAUUCUUCCGCAAUGGGCGAAAGCUUGACGGAGCAACGCCGCGUGAGUGAUGAAGGUCUUCGGAUCGUAAAACUCUGUUAUUAGGGAAGAACAAAUGUGUAAGUAACUAUGCACGUCUUGACGGUACCUAAUCAGAAAGCCACGGCUAACUACGUG
rnacentral:rRNA from 1 species